UACAGAGGGUGCAAGCGUUGCUCGGAAUUAUUGGGCGUAAAGGGUAGGUAGGUGGUCUCAUUUGUCGGGGGUGAAAGCCUUGGGCUUAACCCAAGAAGUGCCUUCGAAACGGUGAGACUGGAGUCCUGGAGAGGGUCGUGGAAUUCCCGGUGUAGCGGUGAAAUGCGUAGAGAUCGGAAGGAACAUCAAUGGCGAAGGCAGCCGCCUGGGCCUGGACUGACACUGAGGCACGAAAGCGUGGGUAGCAAACAGG
rnacentral:rRNA from 1 species